CAGAUAUUAGUUUAAAAAAAAUAUUAAUUUUGGAGAUUAAAGAAGUUAUUUAUUAAUAUAUCUGA
rnacentral:tRNA from 1 species